AAAGCGUGCGCAGGCGGUUCGGAAAGAAGGAUGUGAAAUCCCAGGGCUUAACCUUGGAACUGCAUUCUUAACUACCGGGCUAGAGUAUGUCAGAGGGAGGUGGAAUUCCGCGUGUAGCAGUGAAAUGCGUAGAUAUGCGGAGGAACACCGAUGGCGAAGGCAGCCUCCUGGGAUAAUACUGACGCUCAUGCACGAAAGCGUGGGGAGCAAACAGGAUUAGAUACCCGAGU
rnacentral:rRNA from 1 species